CACACGGACGGUCAGUCAGUCACAGCCCUGCACCCCGCGCCCGUCAGCGAGAGCGCUGCAUUUUCAGAGAGCCGAAAAGUGAAAAAAACAUUAAAGGAGGAGAAUCGCAACCCCUCCUCUGUAUUUUCAGGCAGGGCCCUCCAACAAAAUCAGCCUGUCACGCGAAACGGCGGAGGAGGAAGGACCGAAAAUAAAGAUGUCUGUGUGCUGCCACCGUAGAGGGCAGCGGGGCGGCGAGCCCCCGCCUCGCAAGCCCGCGGUCCUGCUGAACGGCACCUGCCGGGGAGCCCCAUCGCCUGCCCGCGGCACGCCCGGGCUGCGGCAGCUCGUCCGCCCGUCCGCUGCCCUCGCCGGCCCGGAGGAACGAGGCGGGCUCAGGGGGACUGCGUCCUGUCAGUACUACAAUGGUUUGGGAUUUCAUGGAAGCAAGAAGGGGGAUGGACAGAUUCAUGCACCGUGCAAACCAAGGAAUGCCACCCGUGGCAGCCCCAUGGCGGUCAGCUGGCACAACUCGCUGUCCAGCAAGAGGGAGGGAUGUCUCCAUUGGGAUUGAGUACUCAUCGCCUUUUUGCAGGGGUGGAAGCCAUUUCCAGCUUUGCGUGGCUGAAGAAGAAAGGCCAAGGAGCUGAUCUUCAAUUGUAUGGAAUGAGCAGCAACAGAUGGAGAAGUAGGAGACAAAUGAAUUGUUCCUUCCCUUUCUGGAUCUCUCUCUGGAUUCAAUUAUCUAGGGAUUUUGUAGCUGUCAACUGAUGGAUGUGCAGUCUACCAGUGCCUGCUGGCUAAUCCACUUUGAGGCUGUAUUAGAUUGGUUGAAAAAUGAUUGAAUUAGAAUAAUAUUCUGCUGUAACAUAAAGCAAUAGUGGGAGAAU